rnacentral:rRNA from 1 species
GACGAACGCUGGCGGCGUGCUUAACACAUGCAAGUCGAACGGAAAGGCCCUGCUUUUGUGGGGUGCUCGAGUGGCGAACGGGUGAGUAACACGUGAGUAACCUGCCCUUGACUUUGGGAUAACUUCAGGAAACUGGGGCUAAUACCGGAUAGGAGCUCCUGCUGCAUGUUGGGGGUUGGAAAGUUUCGGCGUUUGGGGAUGGUCUCGCGGCUUAUCAGCUUGUUGGUGGGGUAGUGGCUUACAAGGUCUUUGACGGGUAGCCGGCCUGAGAGGGUGACCGGCCACAUUGGGACUGAGAUACGGACCAGACUCCUACGGGAGGCAGCAGUGGGGAAUAUUGCACAAUGGGCGGAAGCCUGAUGCAGCAACGCCGCGUGCGGGAUGACGGCCUUCGGGUUGUAAACCGCUUUCGCCUGUGACGAAGCGUGAGUGACGGUAAUGGGUAAAGAAGCACCGGCUAACUACGUG